AAUAUCAGCCCUAUUGUAAGAAAACCUCACAACUAUUAGUUAGGUUUAUUUUGUGAAGUUAUUCUUGCUUGAACCUCAUAAGAAAAAGUCAUCACAUGAGGUGAAAAACAUUCUGCUGUCAAACAGCUAUUUCAUAAAAAUAAACCAUGCAAAAUAAAGAAAUGAAUAGUCAAUAAAAUGUAAUAGCAGGGCAAUUUCGUUGAAGAGGAUGAUAUUCCUAUUUCAUCGUUAAUCUACAUACACACUACAAUACAUUGGCAAUAAGCAAUGGAGUAAAAUUGUUCAACUUGGCUUUUCCAAAUGACUCAAUUCUAAGUCAGGGUUGAACAAAAUUACAUAGAAGAUUCCGAUGGGGUUAAUGAUAAAGUUGAAAGGAAUGGUGAAAUUGAUAAUAAAUACCCAAAACUUAAACAUAAAGGUGCAGAAAAAUGUUGAACAAUGUAUACAAUGGUCAAAGCAGAAAAAUGUCGAUUUCAUACAACGUAUUGUAUUGACUGAAGAAGCCAUCAAAUGUAAUCUUAGUAUUCCAACGAAACAAACGACGAUUAAUCAAUUUUUAAUUAGCACAUUACGUUCUUUAGGGUAACAUGCAUAAGCGCU